rnacentral:rRNA from 1 species
GUCCACGCUGUAACGAUGAGUGCUAGGUGUUGGCUGAGAAGUCAGUGCCGUAGUAACGCAAUAAGCACUCCGCCUGGGAGUACGGUCGCAAGACUGAACUCAAAGGAAUUGACGGGGACCCGCACAAGCAGCGGAGCAUGUGGUUUAAUUCGACGCAACGCGAAGAACCUUACCAAGGCUUGACAUCCCCUUGACAGAUGCAGAGAUGUGUCCUCUCCUUCGGGAGCAAGGGAGACAGGUGGUGCAUGGUUGUCGU